rnacentral:rRNA from 1 species
GGGUUGUGAGGUUAAGCGACUAAGCGUACACGGUGGAUGCCCUGGCAGUCAGAGGCGAUGAAGGACGUGCUAAUCUGCGAUAAGCGUCGGUAAGGUGAUAUGAACCGUUAUAACCGGCGAUUUCCGAAUGGGGAAACCCAGUGUGUUUCGACACACUAUCAUUAACUGAAUCCAUAGGUUAAUGAGGCGAACCGGGGGAACUGAAACAUCUAAGUACCCCGAGGAAAAGAAAUCAACCGAGAUUCCCCCAGUAGCGGCGAGCGAACGGGGAGCAGCCCAGAGCCUGAAUCAGUGUGUGUGUUAGUGGAAGCGUCUGGAAAGGCGCGCGAUACAGGGUGACAGCCCCGUACACAAAAAUGCACAUGCUGUGAGCUCGAUGAGUAGGGCGGGACACGUGGUAUCCUGUCUGAAUAUGGGGGGACCAUCCUCCAAGGCUAAAUACUCCUGACUGACCGAUAGUGAACCAGUACCGUGAGGGAAAGGCGAAAAGAACCCCGGCGAGGGGAGUGAAAAAGAACCUGAAACCGUGUACGUACAAGCAGUGGGAGCACAGAGCAAUC